rnacentral:rRNA from 1 species
GACGAACCGCGCGAACGUUAUUCGGAAUCACUGGGCUUAAAGCGCGUGUAGGCGGAUCGGCACGUCGGCGACUGAAAGCCCCCGGCUCAACCGGGGAAGCGGAGCCGAAACGACCGGUCUCGAGGGAUGGAGGGGGACCUGGAACUUCCGGUGGAGCGGUGAAAUGCGUUGAGAUCGGAAGGAACGCCGGCGGCGAAAGCGAGGUCCUGGACGUCCACUGACGCUGAGACGCGAAAGCUGGGGGAGCGAACGGG